rnacentral:rRNA from 1 species
CUGGGGUGAAGUCGUAACAAGGUAGCCGUGUCGGAAGGUGCGGCUGGAUCACCUCCUUUCUAAGGAGAACU